rnacentral:rRNA from 1 species
AGUGAACGCUGGCGGUAGGCCUAACACAUGCAAGUCGAACGGCAGCACAGUAAGAGCUUGCUCUUACGGGUGGCGAGUGGCGGACGGGUGAGGAAUACAUCGGAAUCUACUUUUUCGUGGGGGAUAACGUAGGGAAACUUACGCUAAUACCGCAUACGACCUACGGGUGAAAGCAGGGGAUCUUCGGACCUUGCGCGAUUGAAUGAGCCGAUGUCGGAUUAGCUAGUUGGCGGGGUAAAGGCCCACCAAGGCGACGAUCCGUAGCUGGUCUGAGAGGAUGAUCGGCCACACUGGAACUGAGACACGGUCCAGACUCCUACGGGAGGCAGCAGUGGGGAAUAUUGGACAAUGGGCGCAAGCCUGAUCCAGCCAUACCGCGUGGGUGAAGAAAGCCUUCGGGUUGUAAAGCCCUUUUGUUGGGAAAGAAAAGCAGCAGGUUAAUACCCCGCUGUUCUGACGGUACCCAAAGAAUAAGCACCGGCUAACUUCGUG